rnacentral:rRNA from 1 species
AGGGAAUUUUCCACAAUGGACGAAAGUCUGAUGGAGCAACGCCGCGUGAACGAUGAAGGUCUUCGGAUUGUAAAGUUCUGUUGUCAGGGACGAAUAAGUAUCGUUCGAACAGGGCGGUACCUUGACGGCACCUGACGAGAAAGCCACGGCUAACUACGUGCCAGCAGCCGCGGUAAUACGUAGGUGGCAAGCGUUGUCCGGAAUUAUUGGGCGUAAAGCGCGCGCAGGCGGCUAUGUAAGUCUGGUGUUAAAGCCCGGGGCUCAACCCCGGUUCGCAUCGGAAACUGUGUAGCUUGAGUGCAGAAGAGGAAAGCGGUAUUCCACGUGUAGCGGUGAAAUGCGUAGAGAUGUGGAGGAACACCAGUGGCGAAGGCGGCUUUCUGGUCUGUAACCGACGCUGAGGCGCGAAAGCGUGGGGAGCAAAC